rnacentral:rRNA from 1 species
UACGUAGGGUCCGAGCGUUGUCCGGAAUUAUUGGGCGUAAAGAGCUCGUAGGCGGUUUGUUGCGUCUGCUGUGAAAUCCCGAGGCUCAACCUCGGGCCUGCAGUGGGUACGGGCAGACUGGAGUGCGGUAGGGGAGAAUGGAAUUCCCGGUGUAGCGGUGGAAUGCGCAGAUAUCAGGAGGAACACCGAUGGCGAAGGCAGUUCUCUGGGCCGUAACUGACGCUGAGGAGCGAAAGCGUGGGGAGCGAACAGG